GCCCUGUGUUACUACAGAAGAAAACCUGAACUAAACUAACUUUAUUUAUACUGGAUAACUCCAUCACAUCAGAUCUAAACUCGUUUUCUUGGAGUUCAGUGAAUCCAAAAGACCAAUGACUUAUGCCAGUGACACUGGAUAGCUCUGUAGAGGUCCAGUUGGGGUCAUCCUUCAUUGCUCUAGUAUCUAGUAUUUCUACAAGAGGAAACCAGACUAAUUCGAUCAGUAAUAACAAAAUGAGUGCUUAUCUGAAAAUUGAGUGUUUCAAAAUGAUAUUUUG
rnacentral:lncRNA from 1 species